GAUGAACGCUGGCGGCGUGCUUAACACAUGCAAGUCGAGCGGUAAGGCCCUUUUGGGGGUACACGAGCGGCGAACGGGUGAGUAACACGUGGGUGACCUGCCCUCAGCUCUGGGAUAAGCCUGGGAAACUGGGUCUAAUACUGGAUAUGACCUUUCCUCGCAUGGGGGUUGGGUGGAAAGUUUUUCGGCUGGGGAUGGGCCCGCGGCCUAUCAGCUUGUUGGUGGGGUGAUGGCCUACCAAGGCGACGACGGGUAGCCGGCCUGAGAGGGCGACCGGCCACACUGGGACUGAGACACGGCCCAGACUCCUACGGGAGGCAGCAGUGGGGAAUAUUGCGCAAUGGGCGGAAGCCUGACGCAGCGACGCCGCGUGGGGAUGAC
rnacentral:rRNA from 1 species